rnacentral:rRNA from 1 species
UGGGGAAUAUUGGACAAUGGGCGAAAGCCUGAUCCAGCCAUGCCGCGUGUGUGAAGAAGGUCUUCGGAUUGUAAAGCACUUUAAGUUGGGAGGAAGGGUUGUAGAUUAAUACUCUGCAAUUUUGACGUUACCGACAGAAUAAGCACCGGCUAACUCUGUGCCAGCAGCCGCGGUAAUACAGAGGGUGCAAGCGUUAAUCGGAAUUACUGGGCGUAAAGCGCGCGUAGGUGGUUAGUUAAGUUGGAUGUGAAAUCCCCGGGCUCAACCUGGGAACUGCAUUCAAAACUGACUGACUAGAGUAUGGUAGAGGGUGGUGGAAUUUCCUGUGUAGCGGUGAAAUGCGUAGAUAUAGGAAGGAACACCAGUGGCGAAGGCGACCACCUGGACUGAUACUGACACUGAGGUGCGAAAGCGUGGGGAGCAAACAGGAUUAGAUACCCGCGUAGUCCCUGAGCGGGCUGGCAAGGCGCAU